UUUGUAUUUUUUCACAUUGAUAACAAUCUUCCCAUUACUGAGCGGUCAUCCAUAACAGUGUCAUAGUGAGACUUGAAUAAGUUUUUGUAAGAAAAGCGCCUGGAAAGCACGCGAGCUGUUCUGGUAUAAAUUUGGUCUGGAAUCUUUAAAUACUCGAGUCCUGGAAGCUGACUGUAGAGACUGACAUCGUUGAAUUUGUCGACAGCUGAAGAUUCUACUCCUACUGAGUGAAGAAGGAUCUCUCUUCGUGGCCGGUCUGAUUCCUUCUCUGAAAGCGACGAAACUCCUGAAGUGUCAAUACUGGAAAUUCUCUCCAUCGGCCCAAAACUGACGUAUGUACUGCAGCACCCAUUGGUUGUCGUAGUAACUCCUCUGUAUUACCUAUGGACUGACUACUCAGAUCAAUAUGAAGCCAAUGUGAACCACCUGGAACUGUUCAAGCACCUCCGUUUUCCUGACUUUACAGUCUGGCCAGACAAAUCACCGUAAACUUGGUCGAUUAAAAUUUGCCGCAAAUUACUUACGCCUGACUGAGGUGGUAGAAUUUAAACAAUUAGAAGGAGAAAUUUUGGUCACGGAUUGAAAUGGAGGCUGAUACCAUUUAUUAGUGAAGACAUUGAGGUCAAAACAUGCUUUGACAGUGCAUAUUCCGGGGCAUUUGCUCGACUCAAUCUCACAUUAGUUUGAGUUUGGGCCCUUAUUCGGGACAAUUGUCAGUCAACCCCUUGUAGCUGACCAAACCACGUACUUUGUAACUGUGAUGGCACAGAUACAAGAAAAUGAAACUAUCUAUACAUAGCAAAUUAAUGCCACUAGUGUAGCCUGAGUUUCGAUAGAGGAUAGAUGUACUGAACGCUUGUUGAGUACUGCGUGUCGUAAUGCUGGAUGGAAUAACGUAUGCCUGUCGAUGCAUCUGCGCGCUGCCGACGGGCGAUAACCAUGUUACCCUUGAACAAUUUUUUGAUUGGCUGCAAUAACCCUCCCAGACAAUCAUUUCGUGCACCUGUUAUCAAACUACAACAGAACGUCGUGUUCCUACGCCUAUGUUCUGGCAAUCUCGCUAGGCAAGAACAUCUACGUUUCUUUCUAAAGAUCGAUUGCGUUUCGUAGAUCGAUUGUGAAAAUUCUGUUCCUCCAUUUUCAUUAAGUAUACAGAUAUUCAAAUAUCAAGGAUAGCGAAUACAAUUUCCUUUUGCAAACACUAAAUGAUUUUUCAAGUUUCUCGCAAAAUUUGAACUUUUUAAGUCUUUCGAGUAGAGAUGAAACAAGACGGCUGAUAUUUAGUGGCUUUUGGCCGACCAGCAGGUUUCCUUUUGCCAGAUUGUGUCCAUUGCAAGAUGAUGUUGGGUUAUGAACCCGAUCCAUUCUAACUACGUACGUGUAAUGAACACUAUAUCGAGGCUUCUCUAAUUAAGUGAGUAAUCUUAACUCUUUCUGAUUCGCCAAUUUGUUGCUU